rnacentral:rRNA from 1 species
GACGAACGCUGGCGGCGUGCUUAACACAUGCAAGUCGAACGGAAAGGCCCGGCUUUUGUUGGGUUCUCGAUUGGCGAACGGGUGAGUAACACGUGAGUAACCCGCCCUUGACUUUGGGAUAACUUCAGGAGACUCGGGCUAAUAUCCGAUAGGAUCUCCUGCUGCAUGGUGUUGGUUGGAAAGUGUCGGCGGUUGGGGCUGGUCUCGCGGCUUAUCAGCUUGUUGGUGGGGUAGUGGCUUACAAAGGCUUUGACGGGUAGCCGGCCUGAGAGCGUGACCGGCCACCUUGGGCCUGCGAUAGGGACCAGACGCCUACGGGCGGCAGCAGUGGGGAACCUUGCACAACGGCCGGAAGCGUGAUGCAGAAACGCCGCGUGCGGGAUGCCGGCCUUCGGGUUGUAAACCGCUUUCGAAUGUGACGAAGCGUGCGUGACGGUAAUGGGUAAAGAAGCACCGGCUAACUACGUG